UACGAAGGGAGCUAGCGUUGUUCGGAAUCACUGGGCGUAAAGCGCACGUAGGCGGUUCAGUCAGUCGGGUGUGAAAUCUCCGGGCUCAACUCGGAGGGGCCACCCGAUACUGCUGUGACUCGAGUCCGGUAGGGGAGUGGGGAAUUCCUGGUGUAGCGGUGAAAUGCGCAGAUAUCAGGAGGAACACCGGUGGCGAAGGCGCCACUCUGGGCCGGUACUGACGCUGAGGAGCGAAAGCGUGGGUAGCAAACAGG
rnacentral:rRNA from 1 species